AGUAUAGCACAUGACAGAGGAAAGGUGAAACUGAAGGUGGAGAAGGAACAGUCUUCAGCCUCUGAGGAUAAUCAGACCAUAUUCCUUGAAAGGGACAAUGACAGAAUUACAGACACACUAGAUGUAUACACUUGGUUAAAGGCUGGAUGUAUCUUCCAGGCUUCCCUUCUACUAGUGUCCUUCUCUUCUUUUUUAUAGCUAAUCUGGUCUCCUGGGAACCAACCUCAGCUUAUACACCGGGUACACUUUGUUGGGCCUGCUGCUACUGCCAAAACUAAGGUUGGAAGAAGAGACUGAUGCUAUCCAGUAUCAAGAGUUAGCUGAAUUCUUAUAAAGAUGUCACAACCUCCAAGAAAUAUCAUAUUAAAAUUUACUGCGUAUGCUAUCCUCUUAGCAAGCCUAUGGACAUUGAAUUUGUUCAUUGGUUGGCAGUGGUGUACUGGUCAAAAAAAAAAAGGAAGGUGGUUGUACCCUGAUCAAGAUGGAGGAAUGAGAUGCUUCAGGCCUCUUCCACAACCAGCAAGAACAGAAAGAAACAUCUUUCUCAAUGCUCCAGAAAACUGCAGUAACAGGGUAGGAACUUUGUUAGCAAAAGCCUGGAGAGCCUCCCAUAGUGCAGAAUCAUGACUCCACGCCAAACUCUCCAAAAUCUGUUCUUCGAUGCUGUUCAGAUGUUUUACCAUGUCCCUGGAAAGUCCCUCCUCCGAACGGAUCACCACCUCAAUAACCUGGAGAGGAGAAGAUUGAGAAGACAAUGUGUCUCAAGCAGUGAGUUCUAGACUGGGCUUGUGUUGCUGGCUCUGGCCUUACUAUUUGACCGAGAACCCACGACAUCUUUGAAUGAUAAGUCUGGGGCUUAUUAAUAUCUUCUAAUUUAUAAAAGACCUUUUAAGGUCUUUAAAACAUUUUCACAUACAUUUCUGUUUUGCAUGUUUUAUUUCAUACAUGGAAAACUGAGGCAAUGAUAGUGUAAACUGUUCAAUGGCCCAACAGUGGUAAAAGCUGGGACUUGGGUUCCCAGGAAUUUUGAAUUUACUAUCCCUUCCCAGACUAUUCUUCCCAAUAUUUCUAAAGAAUAAAUGAAUAAAGUAUUGUAAAGGAACUCUGCUUAUGUACACUGUAAUUCCAGUUUCAUAAGGGAAAAAUAUCUAGAACAAAGUCUGGAAGUAUACAUACAAAAACAUUUAUAGCGAUUAUUUUGGAGUGGUACAAUUAUGGAUGAUUUUGAUAUUUACAUUUGUCUGUAUUUCCUAUUUUUCUUCAAUGAGCGUCUAUCAUUUUUGCAGUCAAAAAAAUAAAGCAUUUAGCUCCUUGAAUGAAAUAAGGAUGUUACAACUAAAAUUAAUUACUAUUAAGGUUGUGGGCAAAAAUUGAACUUUUUCCUGAUAACUAAUGGGAAAAUCUGAACACAAACAUCAACAUUAAAGUAAAUAUACAGAAUCAAUUUUCCCUAAGAAAUUAAAGUAUUUAAAUUACACUCAGUCAACAAUUCAAAUGGAUAAACUUUCUAAUGAUCUGUAUUUGUAAAACUUCAUCUCAGGAAUACUUCAGUUAUAAAAAUUUAACUCUUCAAACUAACUUUUCUGACAAUAGUUUGGGAAUAGCACACAUGACUACAUAUUAACUAAAUCAUGCCAAUAAGCAUAACAUUAUCAUCAGUCUUAAAUUUGGACAGUAUGCAACAUUAAAUGUUAUUGGCUAUGAUGGUAGCUCAGCAGUUAUGAUUUCCAUGUGUUAUUAGAAAAAGGUUAAUAAAAAACAGUGCUACGAGAAAAAAAGGAAGGUAAACAAUAUUCAUAUAAACUGAAUUAACUCAAAUUUGAGGAAGGAGUUUAAAUAGUUAUUAGAGCUUCAUUAGCUAGUCCAUCAUCACAAUCAAUUUUAGACCUGUCUUUCUUUGCAAGAAAGCCUUUUUUGUCCUUCCUUAUGCAUCCAUUUAAUAGGGUUAUGACUUUCAUCCAUAAGUAUGGAAUAUUCGAAGAUAAGUUGUUAGGUCCAGACCAUAUUUGCAAGUGACUGAUGGAAAAGAACUGAAGCUGCAAGAUUGGCUUAAAUUUACUGAUCCCUCAUCCUUUCCCUUUUUCUCUUUGAUUCCACCCAAAAGGAGUAUCUAUUUUCAGAACUCCUCUGGAAAUAUUUUCCAGACAUCAUUACAAUGUUUUUCUUUGGCACUAAGAUAAAUACAAUGUUUAUGUAAGGCAUAUCAUAACAGAACUUUGCUUUUAUCUCACCUUAUAAAAAUAAAAUGGUUGCAAAUUGAGAACUUCAACAAUCCAGGGAAAAGUACGAGGUGAGCUAUAGGCAAAGAGCACAAUUUCCAAACAGCAGGCCAUCAAGGAACGAUGAAAUAUAUCCUGCUCUAAAAGAACCUUGGGGCAGAAAAAGGCUACUGUUUAAUAUUUCUUAGAACUUUCAGCCUCUGCCUAUAAAGAAGACUAUAUAAACAAUAUAAAAUAACUUCUGUAAAUUAUAUAGUAUUAGAUUACCACAGAUAAAAUCAGAGUUCUCAAACUAGUAAAGAAUUUUCUUAUAAUAUCUAAUUUUUCUCAGUAGUAGAUCUUAAAUUUAAAUGAGGCAUAUACACAACAAUUUGCUUUGAAACUUGAAAAAAAUAAUAGUCGAUAUUUCCACCAAGAGAAAAAGCAUUAAAAUUGGUUUCUUUAACAAAUUAAAGUUUCAGUUGCUGAGAGAUUUCAAAUGAAGUCAAGAGGUCAUUCUGAAGGUUAUUCUCAUGCAUUAUAUAGAUAUUCCUUUUUAGUUUUUACUGUAUUAGAACA